rnacentral:rRNA from 1 species
CACGUAGUUAGCCGGAGCUUAUUCAAGAGGUACCGUCUUCUGCUCUUCCCUCUUAAAAGAAGUUUACAACCCGAAAGCCUUCUUCCUUCACGCGGCGUUGCUGGGUCAGGCUUGCGCCCAUUGCCCAAUAUUCCCCACUGCUGCCUCCCGUAGGAGUCUGGGCCGUAUCUCAGUCCCAAUGUGGCCGGCCAACCUCUCAGUCCGGCUACUGAUCGUCGCCUUGGUAGGCCGUUACCCUACCAACCAGCUAAUCAGACGCGAGGCCAUCUCUCAGCGAUAAAUCUUUGAUAUAUCUGCCAUGCGACAAACAUAUGUUAUGCGGUAUUAGCAGUCGUUUCCAACUGUUGUCCCCCUCUGAAAGGCAGGUUCCUCACGCGUUACUCACCCGUCCGCCACUAAGUAACCUCUUCCAUUGACCGAAAUCUCUUUCCGAGGCACUCCGUUCGACUUGCAUGUGUUAAGCACGCCGCCAGCGUUCGUCCUGAGCCAGGAUCAAACUCU